AACGAACGCUGGCGGCAGGCCUAAACAUGCAAGUCGAGCGGGCAUAGCAAUAUGUCAGCGGCGGACGGGUGAAUAACACGUGGGAACAUGCCCUUUGGUACGGAACAACUCAGGGAAACUUGAGCUAAUACCGUAUGUGCCGGUAACGGGAAAGAUUUAUCGCCAAAGGAUUGGCCCGCGUCCGAUUAGCUAGUUGGUGAGGUAACGGCUCACCAAGGCGACGAUCGGUAGCUGGUUUGAGAGAACGAUCAGCCACACUGGGACUGAGACACGGCCCAGACUCCUACGGGAGGCAGCAGUGGGGAAUAUUGGACAAUGGGCGAAAGCCUGAUCCAGCCAUGCCGCGUGAGUGAAGAAGGCCUUAGGGUUGUAAAGCUCUUUCAGCGGGGAAGAUAAUGACGGUACCCGCAGAAGAAGU
rnacentral:rRNA from 1 species